CCUCUCCAUCUAGGACUGGAGGGACAUCCUUCUCCAUCCAGGACUGAGGGUCAUCUUUCUCCAUGCAGUACCUGAGGGACGUCCUUCUCUAUCCAGGGCCUGAGGACGUCCUUCUCUGUACUCCCUUGGGACGGCACACUUUCCUGUGCCGUCCUUCAGAAUGCCAGGCUGUCACUUGUUGUGGAUUGAAUUCUAGCAUCUUAUCUCUAUUCUAGGCAUUAUGAAGAGCACCAAAAUGCAAGCCACACAAUAGUAGAUGCUGUUUACAAUUCAUUCAACCAACAAAGGGUUUACAUGUCAACCACAGAGAGAACUGUAGGCCAGUGAGGAACCACAGGAAGAACUGCAGGCCAGAAAGGAACUACAGGGAGAACUGCAGUCCAGCGAGGAAUCACAGGGAGAACUACAGGCCAGCGAGGAACAGACACCCUGAUCUAAAAUGAAAAUGGCGACAGUCAUGAAUGGGACUUCAAAAAAGAGAAGACCAAAACUACACAUGAACACAUAAAUAGUUAACCAAAUAACAAGUUAAUUUAUGAAAGUGUAUUUGAUCUCAUCAGUCAUCAGAGAAAUGUAAAAUAAAAUCUUUGUUUUAUAAUUA